rnacentral:lncRNA from 1 species
CUCUCUGUCGGGGGAGACAAUUCAAGGUUAAUGAGAAACCAGAGCACACUGAGCGUAAAUCUGGCUCUUUGGAUUGACAGCCAUAGGUGACAGAGACUGAAGAUUCUUGUGCACAAACAAUGAAGGUGGUUUGACCUUUACCUGGGAAGGAAAUGAGCUGACUCAUCUUGAGCCAGAUGGAACUCUACUCGGAUUAAAGCUUCAGGAAGAUCAAUUUGAGAGCUGGAAGCAGCAAAGAUGUUAUGCAACCAAGUGGACAUUUGAAAGAAGUAGAGGAAAGGUCAUUGCAGCAGCAGAUUGGAACAGAAAUAGCAAGAGCUAUAGAAAGGCAAUUGAUCAGUUGAUGAAGUCAUGGUGCCUUAUGUCUGUACAGUGAGAGCUUUCGGAGAGAUUGAGAAUUCUCUGCAGUUGAAUGUAAUUCAAAUACAAAAUUAAAAAAAAGAAGACCAGUUAAAGAUGAACACAUGUAAAUGAACAUGGAAAACAGAUUGGUGUGGGACAUGAAAGAGAAUUAGCACAGCCCAGAGAAAAUACAUGGUGACCGGUGUGGAAAUAAAUGAAGACCAAUCGAAUGAGAACA